CAUAGCGACUAUCGUGGCAUAUCAAUAAGCGGAGGAAAAGAAGCUAACAAGGAUUCCCUUAGUAACGGCGAGUGAAGCGGGAAGAGCUCAAAUUUGAAAUCUUCAAGGUUUUACCUUGACGAAUUGUAGUUUAAAGAAGUGUUUUCUGUUGGAGUUUUGGUAAAAGUUCUUUGGAAUAGGACAUCAUAGAGGGUGAGAAUCCCGUAUUUGACCAUUAUUUCCAGCUGUGUGACACACUUUCAAAGAGUCGGAUUGUUUGGGAAUGCAGUCCAAAAUGGGUGGUAAAUUUCAUCUAAAGCUAAAUAUUGGCGAGAGACCGAUAGCGAACAAGUACCGUGAGGGAAAGAUGAAAAGAACUUUGAAAAGAGAGUUAAACAGUACGUGAAAUUGUCAAAAGGGAAGCGUUUGACACCAGUGUUGUUUUUCUCGAAAAUCAAUUAAAAAAGGCCGGAUUUUGUGUUGUAUUGACCUUAAAAGCUUUCUUCACUCUUUUCUUGUCUUUUUUAAUGCACUUUUCGUUUAACAAGUCAACAUCAGUUUCUCUUGUUGUAAAAGGGUCAUUGGAAGGUGGCUUUCUUUUCGGAGAAAGUGUUUAUAGCCUUUGAUCUUCUGCAAUCGGAGAGAUUGAGGUCUGCAGCGUAGAUCCUUCGGGGUUAGAUACAGUUUGUGCUAAGCUAUAGUUCUUUCAUAGACAACUUGUUGACUAUAGUCUAGUCCUGUAGCUUACUCGCUGAUGCUAUUUUACCUACGCUUAGGAUGUUGAUAUGCAUGACUGAUAU
rnacentral:rRNA from 1 species